GCCGCCCGGCCAGGCCCUCCCAGAGGCGGGCCUGAAGCCACUCGGGUAGCGGUCGCCCGAAGCCACGCCGAGCAGCUGCUGCUGCCGCCACCGCCUUGGACUCUCGGCUGGCCCCGACGGCAGGCGGGCUUGUGCGUGGCAAGAUCCUGUGGGCUUGGCGCAGGUGGGAACGCGCCGGACACGCGGGCUGGGGUGGUCAGAUGAUGCUUUGAUAAGUUAGUGGAAGCAGCAGCUCUGAUCUGGUACACGUUACUGCUGUUAGCUGUAGAGGAGAUCGCAUUCUUCAGGCAUCACAGUCUUCUCGGACGCAGCAGAAAA